CAGUUCAACCCCCUUAGACCCAUCCCUUCUCUCUCUGUUUCUCCUUUGACUUCGAAGUUAACAAAAACAUUUAAUCGCAUUCUAAAUGCAAAAGCCCCAUGCAAACACUUGGAAUUGGGAAAAGAGGAGAAUACAACAGUUUCUGCCCUCAAGGAACAUAAAGACAGAGUCACAGAGACCUUGAAGAAUGGAGGAGGUAGAAAAAGGAGAAAUGCAGGAAGGAGGUGUGUUAUGGAGUUAUCCAGUGGAGGCUCGCAUCCAGCUUUAUUUUGCCUCCAAAGAUCUUGCAUCCUACCUGUUAAGAAGCUUGGAAUGCCACUAUUCCAUUAAAUCUUAAAGGAACUUGAGUCUUUCAUUUAAAAA
ensembl:lncRNA novel transcript, intronic to CYP19A1